rnacentral:lncRNA from 1 species
GUGGCCUCUAUGGGAGAGAAGUCAGUGAGGGUAACAGAGUCCACCCAGGGAGGAGGGACAGUACAGGGCCAUCACCUGCAGCUCUGCCACUCCCUGUCGUUCAGCCGUGAUUCAUUUCUGUCUUCAUUAUCGUUAUUGACUCGAUGCGUGAUCGAUGGAACCACAGGCUUGCCACAGAGCCAGCCCCCACCCUCAGACAGUCAGCAGUGUUUGCUGAAGAAGUGAAAGAAGAAAUAAACGGUUAGAAAUCUAUAGCCUGAUAGGAAA